AAUUGCUGUGGUUAGUGUAUCAGAUCUGUUAGCACUUAGCUGGUUGUUCUGUGGUAUUUUUUGUGGAAAUUUAUUAUCAUAAAAUCACAAUACGUUGUACUUACAUGCAUCUGUAAACGUGAUUUGUAGUAUUAUAUAGAAAAAAUCUUACGAGCAGAUUCGGUUUACGUCACAUGCGCGAAGACGGUGUUCAUUCUGUAUACUGUGAAGCCAAUACCAGAAUUUUUUGGGGAGUCAUCGUAUCCCAGUCUCCCCUACAACUGUGUUAUGUGUUAAAACACUGACAACGAGUAAGCGAGCGCACGAGCAGAAAAAUCAGUUACACUAGGCAUCCGACCACGAGCGAGCUUUAGCGAGCGAGUGUUUUAAAACUUGUUAUUUUUAAUUCGCGCACCAUUCUAUUAUCGGUGUACCAAAAUAACCCAAAAGGCAGUGAUCUCGUGUUAAUUGUCGAGCUCAAAGACAAAAAUUACGCACUCCAUCUUUCCGGCCAAUUCGAGAUUCCAGCGACGAGGUGCUUCGAUGACCAACUAAUGACUUCGCCAUUUUGCGACAAUUGAUGUAUUCGAGGUAUGACCCGAGGUGGUUGGAGGUGGUCGGAAGUGUUUAAGGGAGGUUGCGGGGGAUCGAGGUGGAUGAGGAGAAGGACGGAAAGGAGGAGGAGGAGAUAGAUGAGGAGAAAAAAGUGGACGAGGAGGACGAGGAUAACGAGGAUUUCUGCGCUUGAUCGAGGUAUAACCCGAGGUGGUUAGCCGUGGUCGUUAGAGGUGGUUGGCAGCGGUUGGAGGUGAUCGGAGGUGGACGAGGAGGAGGACGAGGAAGACGAGGAUUUGUGCUCGGUAUAACCCGAGGUAGUUCGCGGUGGUUGCGGGUGAUCGAGGUGGGCGAGGAGGAGG
rnacentral:lncRNA from 1 species